UGACACUUUUUAGUUGUUUUCUUGUACA
rnacentral:piRNA from 1 species